rnacentral:rRNA from 1 species
AGUGAACGCUGGCGGUAGGCCUAACACAUGCAAGUCGAACGGCAGCACAGGAGAGCUUGCUCUCUGGGUGGCGAGUGGCGGACGGGUGAGGAAUACAUCGGAAUCUACUCUGUCGUGGGGGAUAACGUAGGGAAACUUACGCUAAUACCGCAUACGACCUACGGGUGAAAGCAGGGGACCCUCGGGCCUUGCGCGAUUGAAUGAGCCGAUGUCGGAUUAGCUAGUUGGCGGGGUAAAGGCCCACCAAGGCGACGAUCCGUAGCUGGUCUGAGAGGAUGAUCAGCCACACUGGAACAGAGACACGGUCCAGACUCCUACGGGAGGCAGCAGUGGGGAAUAUUGGACAAUGGGCGCAAGCCUGAUCCAGCCAUACCGCGUGGGUGAAGAAGGCCUUCGGGUUGUAAAGCCCUUUUGUUGGGAAAGAAAUCCAGCUGGCUAAUACCCGGUUGGGAUGACGGUACCCAAAGAAUAAGCACCGGCUAACUUCGUGCCAGCAGCCGCCGUAA